AUGACGGAAGAUUGUGAAUAUUCCUAUUUAAUACAUCUUCUUACUAAAAAAAUAUUAGUGAUAUGACAAAAUACUAUUUCAAUCUAGUGAUAUAUCAUUUCACUCAUCUCAAUCUAGUGAAAUUAAGAAUGAAAAAGGUUUGUUAUUCUGUAUAUUGAUUUUCGGAGAGCAGACGUAAAAUGGGCGAUUUUAUGUCUGCUCUCCAAAAUCAAUGGUAUUUUGCCAG